AUUGAACGCUGGCGGCAUGCCUUACACAUGCAAGUCGAACGGCAGCAUGGAGAGCUUGCUCUCUGAUGGCGAGUGGCGAACGGGUGAGUAAUGCAUCGGAACGUACCGUGUAAUGGGGGAUAACGUAGCGAAAGUUACGCUAAUACCGCAUACGACCUGAGGGUGAAAGCAGGGGAUCGCAAGACCUUGCGUUAUACGAGCGGCCGAUGUCAGCUUAGCUUGUUGGUGAGGUAAAGGCUCACCAAGGCGACGAUCUGUAGCGGGUCUGAGAGGAUGAUCCGCCACGCGGGGUCUGAGACAGGGCACAGGCUGCUGCGGGGGGCAGCAGGGGGGAAUGUUGGACAAGGGGGGCAACCCUGAUUCAGCCAUGCCGCGUGAGUGAAGACGGCCUUAGGGUUGUAAAGCUCUUUCGGCCGAGAAGAAAUCGCACAGGCUAAUACUCUGUGUGGAUGACGGUACCGGCAUAAGAAGCACCGGCUAACUACAUGCCAGCCGCCGCCGUAA
rnacentral:rRNA from 1 species